CUGAUGGCGACCGGCGUACGGGUGAGUAACGCGUAUCCAACCUGCCCUUUACUAUGGGACAGCCCGUCGAAAGGCGGAUUAAUACCGUAUGUUGUCAUGUUGAUGCAUACUUUCAUGACCAAAGGCUUCGGCCGGUAAAGGAUGGGGAUGCGUCUGAUUAGCUUGCCGGCGGGGUAACGGCCCACCGGGGCGACGAUCAGUAGGGGUUCUGAGAGGAAGGUCCCCCACAUUGGAACUGAGACACGGUCCAAACUCCUACGGGAGGCAGCAG
rnacentral:rRNA from 1 species